UACGGAGGGUGCAAGCGUUAUCCGGAUUCACUGGGUUUAAAGGGUGCGUAGGUGGGUUGGUAAGUCAGUGGUGAAAUCUCCAGGCUUAACUUGGAGACUGCCAUUGAUACUAUCAAUCUUGAAUACCGUGGAGGUCAGCGGAAUAUGUCAUGUAGCGGUGAAAUGCUUAGAUAUGACAUAGAACACCAAUUGCGAAGGCAGCUGGCUACACGAAUAUUGACACUGAUGCACGAAAGCGUGGGGAUCAAACAGG
rnacentral:rRNA from 1 species